rnacentral:lncRNA from 1 species
GUUCUCAUCAUCUUCUAUCAGUGUCCAGAAAUACUGAUCUGUUAUUUCACAGUUUACUGGGAAGGAACUGGAAUAAUUCUUGCCAGAAGAAUCAUAGGAUACGUUUCUAGAAGACUCUGCAUCAGCAAAAUGCAUUAUCUGUGAAGAAAUGUUUACUCUCAGGAGAGAUGCUCCACUUUCUUCACCAUCUUCAUGGCUCUUUGCUGUACUAUUUUCAGUAGCUCCAUGUCUCCAACAAGAGCACAGAAUGACAGAAUCACAGAAUGGCCUGGGUUGGAAGAGACCUCAAGGAUCAUGAAUCUCCAAACUGCCUGCCGGACAGGGCCACCAACCUCCCCAUUUACUAGACCAGGUUGCCCAGGGUCCCAUCCAACCUGGCCUUGAACACCUCCAGGGACGGAGCAUCUACAACCUCUCUGGGCAGCCCGUUCCAGCACCUCACCACUCUCCUGGUAAAGAACUUCCCCCUAACAUCCAACCUAAAUCUUCCCUCUUUCAACUUAAAACCGUUCCCCCUUGUCCUGCUGUUAUCUACCCUUUCAAAGAGUUUACUCUCUUCCUGUUUAUAGGCUCCCUUCAGGUACUGAAAGGCUG